GCAAAAUAGUCAAGUGUGGUGCUCGAAAUCGGACGCACCAGAACAGUGCUCGUCGUGCCAAAAGCCUUUUAAAGGUGACGGAUCCGGAUAGUGCGGAGAACGGAUAUUCUCAGGCUCAGGCCACAAAGGCACGGACAACAAAUCCGAGACACGUGCCAAGAUCCCAAACAAGACCGGACCAGCGCCGACAACAUCAGGUCGGAGGAGACAAAGCCACGAGGAAAGUCAACUCGAAAAGGGUCGCCAAAGCGGCCCUUUUUUGGUUCCGGCAUAUUUUGCUCCACAUCUCGGCACGUGUUCAUGUUGCUGCGCACCCAUUGGUAUCGGCUCCAACCUUUUUUCUUUCCGGCACAAAACGAGCUCCGAACUCUUCCGAAACUGCACGGCACAGACAGCGCCAUCUGUG